UAAGUAGAACAAAUGAUCGCGGCUGCACAGACGAAAGGGUGCAGACGAGGAAAGUCCGGGCUCCAUAGGGCAGGAUGCCGGAUAACAUCCGGUGGAGGCGACUCCAAGGCCAGUGCAACAGAAAAUAUACCGCCAGGAAUAUCGCAAGGCGACGUACGAAGCCGUGCAACGGCUUCAGGCGUUUCGCGCAGCGAUUGCCGGAGUUUUGCGAAGCAAUACUCCGAGGUAAGGGUGGAAUGGCAG
rnacentral:RNase_P_RNA from 1 species